rnacentral:lncRNA from 1 species
AAACAUGUUCCCACAAUUGUGUGUUGAACUAGAAUGGAAAAUAUAUAGUGAUCAUAACAAUAGUCGAUUGCACUAGAAAAAUGUCUGGGUUUCAUCUCUUUACUCCUUAGCAACACCUCCAAGUUUGAUAAGCUUCUCUCAGUUGUGAUCCUUGCUUGGACCCGGUGGUGUUGUUAGAGUAUUCUUGGGAAGCUUUUGGAAAACUUGGCCUUCCAGCAACAUCUUCCUGUUGCCCGUCGAAUUGAUCGCCACUUCACUGUUAUUCAUUCCAAUCCUGAACAAAGAUCCACUCACUCCACCAUGGCACUCGCAAAGACACGGAGAGAACAUCACCAUCAUCACGAGGAAGACAGCCAGCGCCUGAGUAAAUCUCGCCAUUCCCAAAGAGCCUAGAACGGAUCCGGUCCCUCUAGACGAUGAUUCUUAGCACUGUGAUCGCGUUGUCAAAAUCUCCAAAACCGGUGAUAUGAAUCGUCGAGAACGUACCUUGAAAACUCUACUAUGAUCGCCCGAGUGGAAAAAUUCGAUGCGUAUGCUUGGACAUG